rnacentral:tRNA from 1 species
AGGGCUGUAGUUAAUCAUAACAUUUGGUUUGCAAUCAGAAAGUACUGUAGAAGUCUGCCUUA